rnacentral:lncRNA from 1 species
GGGCUCCGCGGAGCCUCUUGGGCCCUCCGGUGCUUGUGUCGGUCUCUAGGCCUGGAUCUACGUCGGGCUGUGGCUCUGUCUCGGAGCCCAUCUCCGUGGAGCUCUCUGUCCACCUCGGGCUCUGGCGUGCGGCCGGCUGUCGGGCCGCGGUCCGGCCCCUGGCCUGGGGCGCCAUCUCGUGGGCACUUGGGGAGUUGUCGCGGCUCGCGGACCGGACCAGCGACAGGUUUGCUUUGGGCGGGGAGCUGCGGCAGGUACCCAGAGGAGGGGCGGGGGUGCUUCGGAGUGGGAGUGGGUGUGCGGUGGGCGAGCAAAUCUGAGCCUCCGGGAGUCCAAAGGAGCUCCAAGAGCAAAUCGGAAUCCCAGAAUCCGACACUAGCGUCAACGUAUCCACUGAGGGGUGACCCGGCUGCCGUCCCGAGGGCGCUCCCCCGGGGAGUGCCCAGAGAGGACCCAGAGCUCGGCUUCCCUUCCCAUUGCCCUCUUCUUCGCCGGGCGCGCCAGGGUCUCCCCUCUGCUGGCCCGUCCCUGGAACACGGGGCCUCCCGGCCGGCCCCUGCCUGCUGGGCGGGUGCCCCAGACUUUGAGAUCGAGGAUGGCGAAGGAGAGGAAAGAGUGGGAUUGGAUUUCAGACGUGCGGCGAGACGCCGGAAGAAGCGAACGCGCCCCUGCUCUUCGAAUGUUAGAGGAGUUUUGAGCCCAAAGCGACCUCGAAUAAGCACACUGUCCACGAGGGAUUCUACUUGAGCUAAGGAAGGGGCCUCUCGGGCCCGCCCCGUUCCGGGACUGACCCUUCACUGUGCUGCCUGAGGAAGGUCAGAGACAGCCAAGCAGUAGCCCCCCCGCUAGGGCCCGGGACAGCCUUCUCGGCCCUUUCACUCUCUCACUGGCCAAGGCCCUCGCCGCUUCAGCGUGGCCGGGGUCCGGCUCCCCCCCUGGGAGAGGCGGGCUUGACUCUCAUUCCAGGGUGUUUGGAAGCCUGGAUACUGUCCAUUGCACCUCCACCUUCGCCCUUCCUUCAUCUCACCGUUCCUGAUGUUCCUGGUGAGUUGGAGACCCAUCCUCCCAACCCAACCCCCUCCCCUGCAGUGCUCUAGGUGGGUAGGCUGUGUGCCCGGCCGGGGUGCACGGACUGGGAAGGAGGUGGGGGCUCAGUGCCGCAGAGAUGGAUAGACCCGAGGGUGGGUUACAGGGACCGUCCCUCUCCCACUCCUUCCCGCUGCCAAAAUUAGGGCUGGAGGGGGCCUGGGUGGCUCAGAGUUUGAGCGUCUGCCUUUGGCUCAAGGCGCGAUCGGUCCCGGGGCGGCGGGGGGGGGGGGGGGGGGGGCGGGAUCCAGUCCGGCAUCCGGCUCCCUGCUAGGAGCCUGCUUCUCCCUCUGCCUGUGUCUCUGUGUCUCUCAUGAAUAAAUAAAUAAAUCUUUAAAAAAAAUUGGGGCUGGAGACACCUGUUGGCUGGGUAAAGCAGAGAUGAGCUCAAAGGCUAGGGGUAGGAGGCAGCUGUCCCGGCAGGAGUGGGCCUCGGGGAAGGACAUGUCUAAUGGAUACCGACCCAGCGGGAUUCCCAGAGAUACCGCGGCCGAGCCCUUUAUUAUGCCAGGGGAAACUGAGGCAGGAAUGGAAGUAGUCUAUUGACCCACACUCUCUCCACCCCCAAGAGAGAUCUAGGUGAGUUACACGGGAGAACUCUCAGGUUACAUUCUGCUACUCUAGGCAACAGCCCUGACAAGGUGAAAUGUUUCUUUUCUCUUCUUUUCCUUUCUAAGGAAUCUCUACACCCACCAUGGGGCCCUAACUCCGGAGCCGAGGUCAAGAGUCGCACGCUCUAGCUCUACGGACUGAGCCAGCCAGGCGGCCCGAGAAUGGUCUCUUUUUGAGGUUCAGGAGGCAGAUGGAAAAGGAUUCUAGGGCCCGCGGUAUUGGGUGCACCGGGGCCAAACUCCUCGGAAGGGAGAGGGAGUAGGGUGCACCCGUCUUACCAGCCCCACCUACCCAGAGGCACAAAAAGGGGAGGCAUUUUCCACUCUGGAGCCCGGGAAAGGGAGCCCCGAGUCCAGGUGCGGAGUGGCUGGGGCGACGGCCGGAGGCGAGUGGCCAGCAGAGGGAGCCCGGCCCCUGGCCUGGGAGGCUGCCGGCGCGCGGGGAGCGCGGGGGGCUCGAGCGGCUCCGCGCCUCCCGGCCCAGCCCGCGGCCCAGCCCGCGGCCCUCGCCGGCGCCGCCCGGCCUCGCAGCUCCGCCCGCUGUCCCAGGCUGCUGCCGCCCCCGGGGUGCAGCUGCCGCAGGGCCGGGGGCGCCCAAGGUUUUGUCCCCGCCUCCAGCCCCUCCUUACGCGCUGGCUGCGCCCCUGCCCCACGCGGCCCACAGAGCGCACAGCGCCGUUCACUUCGCAUUGCAGCGUUUUAUUGUUUUCUCACGUUUUUGUCUUUUCGUCUCGCUUGGUAGCGAAAAGUGAAAACCUGAGGUGGGGCCCGCGGGCCGGGCGAGCAAAGCCCGGGGCGGGAGGGGCCGAGGGGCUGGCGGGGUGGAAGUUCCUCCGGGGGGGUCGGGGCUUCUCCCGUAGCCAAGGACCCCCCCCAACCCCAGCCCUGUACAAUAUAGAUGCUCAUGUAAAAUGAAAAGAAAUUUUAAAUGCUAUGAAUUAAUCUCUAGAUAUUAUGUACACAGCAAUGUACACCUUUGAAUAAAUUAAUACCAAUUUGCAUAUUCUGGGAACCUUAAAGCUUAUUUACACAAAUUACCAUUUAUUUCAUAAAUAUCUUUUUUUUCCCUGGGGACUCAAGGCAGAAGUGCCACUCCCUCCGCUGACCCAGGGGUGGGAGGGGCGCCUGUCUUUUGGGGGAAAGAAGUGGGAGGAUUAAAAGAACAGGUCCCUCCCAGCUCAAGUCUACACUGACUUCAGUCUUCACUGAGCCCAGUAUCCCUCACUGCAGAUUCUCAAGCGGUCCAGGCCCAAGGCUAGGGGGCUCUGGGGUUCUCUCCGAGGCUCCCAUCCCUGACUCCUGCACCUUCUGGCUCCCGAAGAGACCGCUAGGCAGGGCGAUGAGGCCUCCCCACAGCGCUGGAGGACCCACAGGGGCCCCUGGCCAGUGCCACCUCGACACUGGGGCAGAUCUGGCCCAUGACCAGUGGCUCCUAAGCAACUGUGUUCCGGGCAGCCGGAUUCCUCGUGAGGCCCAGGGAAAUGUCCUAGGCCCCGGCUGGCUGGUUGGGGCACUAUUCCAGCUGCUGCAGCCCGCUUUCGCUCCUUUAUUUAAAUAAAUACCCAUUCUGUGCUGUACACUUCCCAAGCAGCAGGGGCAGGCAGCCCGGGAGGUCUGCGCAGCGGCAGC